AAUGAACGUUGGCGGCAUGGAUUAGGCAUGCAAGUCGAGCGCGAUGGGAAUUUUGCUUGGAAAAAACCCGGAAAGCGGCGAAAGGGAGAGUAACAGGUAGAUACCUACCUCCAGGCUGGCAAUAGCGUCGGGAAACUGGCGGUAAUGCCCAAUAACAUCUACGGAUCAAAGCUCCGGCGCCUGGAGAUGGGUCUGCUCACUAUUAGCUAGUUGGUAAGGUAAUGGCUUACCAAGGCGACGAUGGUUAGCGGGCGUGAGAGCGUGGCCCGUCUCACUGGGACUGAGACACUGCCCAGACACCUACGGGUGGCUGCAGUCGAGAAUCUUCGGCAAUGGACGCAAGUCUGACCGAGCGAUGCCGCGUGCGGGAUGAAGGCCUUCGGGUUGUAAACCGCUGUCAGAGGGAAGGAAAUUUUGACCAAACCUCAGAGGAAGGUCGGGCUAAGUUCGUGCCAGCAGCCGCGGUAAGACGAACCGACCGAACGUUAUUCGGAAUUACUGGGCUUAAAGGGUGCGUAGGCGGCCAUGUAAGUCAGAUGU
rnacentral:rRNA from 1 species